CCACCAGCGGCUGUUCUAGGAAAGUGGGAAGAGCCCCUGCAGGGACCUCUCACCUGUAGCAGCAGACAGAUGGGUACAGGAAGAGCAGGGUUUGGGAAGCCCCCCCCCCUUCGCGAUGUCCCCAGACUCAGCUGGGCACAGAGGUCCCCGCUCCCACAGGCGGACAUACUUCCUCUGGGAUGGGCCCACCACCCACACCUGGUCCACUGCUGGCAGAUAUGGUUGGAGGGCAUGAGGGGUUCAGGUGGACCAUGAGCCUGGGUGUGACAAUGCCAUCGGCGUGUGGGCAGCGACAUGUGCCAAGGGAAGGAGAUGACAUGCACCGGGAGAAGUGCCUGCCACUGGUGGCCCGUGAUGCAGAAUAGCAUGCCUUGGAAAUAGCUGGCAAUGUUUUCAAAGUGCUACUUUGUACUGUAUUUUUCCUUUGGACCCUCCCCAAACCCUGAGAGGUUGAUAAGGACGGUGUCCUCCCUGUUUUAUGGAAGGUGGGAUGGACAGCCAGAGCCCAGGGACAGCGUGGCGGGGGGACCGUCCAGGAGGCAGGGACACAUGCGUGG